rnacentral:rRNA from 1 species
AUUGAACGCUGGCGGCAUGCCUUACACAUGCAAGUCGAACGGUAACAGGUCUUCGGAUGCUGACGAGUGGCGAACGGGUGAGUAAUACAUCGGAACGUGCCCGAUCGUGGGGGAUAACGAAGCGAAAGCUUUGCUAAUACCGCAUAAGAUCUAUGGAUGAAAGCAGGGGACCGCAAGGCCUUGCGCGAACGGAGCGGCCGAUGGCAGAUUAGGUAGUUGGUGGGAUAAAAGCUUACCAAGCCGACGAUCUGAGCUGGUCUGAAAGGACGACCAGCCACACUGGGACUGAGACACGGCCCAGACUCCUACGGGAGGCAGCAGUGGGGAAUUUUGGACAAUGGGCGAAAGCCUGAUCCAGCCAUGCCGCGUGCAGGAUGAAGGCCUUCGGGUUGUAAACUGCUUUUGUACGGAACGAAAAGACUCUUUCUAAUAAAGAGGGUCCAUGACGGUACCGUAAGAAUAAGCACCGGCUAACUACGUGCCAGCCGCCGCCGUAA